ACAUGCCUACAACAUAGUGUUAAUGCACCGAAUCCCAUUAUAACUCUGCAGUUAAGCGCCCUUGGGCUAGAUUAGUAUUGGGAUUGGUGAUCUUCCAGGAAGUCCUAGUGUUUUACAUGGC
rnacentral:rRNA from 1 species